AUCACUUCUUGGCCUUUCAGCUAAGAUCAAGUGUAGUAUCUGUUCUUAUCUGUUUAAUAUAUGAUAUAUUCUCUAUCUGAUAACAAUAUAUUAAAUGGAUUUUUGGAACUGGGACAUGGAAUAGUGGCUUGUUCCAUCCACUCCACACAUUGACCUGGUAUUGCAGUACUUCUGGGAAUGGCACACCACUU
rnacentral:snRNA from 1 species